rnacentral:hammerhead_ribozyme from 1 species
AUCCAGAUGACGAGUUCCAAAUAGGAUGAAAUGCAUGUUAUCCUGGAU